GAAGCCGUUUGGCUUCAAACGAAUGAAUAGGUUAGCUGAAUAGGGAUGCGAGGGAGGGGUUGCCAUGUUUAUAAUUAUUAUUAUUAAUUUCUAUAAUCACAUCGACAGCGGAAGAGUAAUUGAAGGUGAAGAAAGAAAGCAUUGGAUUGGGUUUGAGUGUGUAGGAGUUCGAAUUAGUUGGAGAAUGCGAAAAUUAGAUUUAGAAAGAUGGAACGGAAUAGAUAGAUAGAUAGUUAAAUAGAUAGGUAGAUGGCGAAAUCGGAGAAUAAGAAUAUGGGAUCAACAUCUGCUUCGGCAAAAGUUCACCCUGCCAAUGAUCCCGAACUGGAUCCCGACGCUUACGCCCUUGAGAAGUUCAGACUCUACGAAACUAGAGCGAGGUUUUACCUGAUCGGGAGUGAUCGGAACAAGAGGUUCUUCCGUGUGCUGAAAAUUGAUCGAUCAGAACCUUCCGAUCUGAAUAUCAGCCAAGACCCGGUGUUGUAUUCAACCCAGGAAAUCAAGAGCUUGCUUCAGCGAAUUGGCGAAGGUAACAGGGCCACCGGAGGCCUCACUUUUGUCGCUAAGGUUUUUGGGAUUGCCGGUUGCAUCAAGUUUCUCGAGUCCUACUAUUUGAUUCUUGUUACUAAGCGCAGACAAAUUGGUUCUAUUUGUGGCCAUGCAAUCUAUAGCAUUAAGGAGAGCCAAUUGAUAACCAUUCCACAUGUUUCAAUUCAAUCUGAUAUAGCUCAUUCUAAGACUGAGCUCAGGUACAAAAAGCUUUUGUCUAGUGUUGAUUUGACCAAGGAUUUUUUCUUUAGUUACACUUACCCUAUAAUGCAAAGUUUGCAAACAAACGUCUCGUCCAAUCAAGAGGGAGGGAUGUCUUAUGAUAAUAUAUUUGUUUGGAAUGCCUAUUUGACGCAAGCAAUCAGAUCAAGAUGCAAUAACACCAUUUGGACCAUAGCUUUAGUUCAUGGCCAUUUUAGGCAGAUUCGUCUAUCAAUCUUUGGGAGGGAUUUCAGUGUUUCCUUGAUUUCUAGACGAUCAAGACAUUUUGCAGGGACACGUUACUUAAAAAGAGGAGUGAAUGAUCGGGGAAGGGUUGCUAAUGAUGUUGAGACAGAGCAGAUUGUCCUUGAUGAAGAAGCUGGCUCUUGCAAGGGAAAAAUGAGUUCAGUUGUGCAAAUGCGAGGAUCUAUACCCCUUUUCUGGUCACAAGAAGCAUCAAGAUUUAGCCCUAAGCCUGACAUAAUCUUGCAAAGGUAUGAUCCCACAUACCAGGCAACGAAAUUGCAUUUUGAAGACCUUGCUAAGAGAUAUGGCAAUCCAAUUAUUGUUCUUAAUUUGAUUAAGACAGUUGAGAAACGGCCUCGAGAAAUGAUGCUGAGGCGUGAAUUUGCAAAUGCUGUUGGGUAUCUGAACCAAAUUCUGCCAGUAGAGAACCAUCUUAGAUUUAUUCACUGGGACUUUCACAAAUUUGCAAAGAGCAAGUCUGCCAAUGUUUUGGCAGUUUUAGGAGCUGUAGCAAGUGAAGCACUUGAUUUAACUGGUUUUUACUACAGUGGUAAACCCAGCAUCAUAAAGAGGGCCAACAAGAGCAAUCGAACGAGCACAGGAAGGGAUACUUCACUGAGAGAUCUGAGAGCUAGUUCUGGGGAUCUUGCAAGGGCUGGGAACAAUAAUGAAAUGAUAAAUUCUGUGGUUACUAGAGACAGGGAGACUGACAUGAACCAUCAGAACAAAAAAGAUAAUUUUAGUAGUGAUGCACCAUAUUUUCAGAGUGGAGUUCUCCGUACCAACUGCAUUGACUGCUUGGACCGUACAAAUGUUGCCCAGUAUGCUUAUGGUCUUCAAGCUUUAGGACGCCAGCUCCAUGCAAUGGGUUUGACUGAUGUGCCUAAAGUGGAUCCUGAUAGUAGUAUUGCUGCAGCUCUAAUGGAUAUGUAUCAAAGUAUGGGAGAUGCUCUUGCCCACCAGUAUGGUGGUUCUGCAGCUCAUAAUACAGUGUUUCCAGAGAGGCAGGGAAAGUGGAGAGCAACAACACAAUCAAGAGAGUUUAUAAAAUCAAUAAAACGAUACUAUAGCAAUGCUUACACAGAUGGUGAAAAACAAGAUGCAAUAAACUUAUUUUUAGGUUACUUCCAACCACAAGAAGGGAAACCUGCUCUCUGGGAGCUGGAUUCAGAUUAUUAUCUCCACGUAUCUGGGAUUGGGGAUGAUAUAAUCCCUGAGAAGUGUUCUGAACUGAAUCUUAAGCCUUCUGGAAGAGGUGGAAUGGUCUUCACCCCUAUACCAGCUUGCAGAGAAGACUUCUCACGGAUAAAGUUGACAUCAUUUGACAAGUUAAUUGAAAAGACCUGUAGUACAAUUAAAGAUGUAAGACUCUGCUGUGAACCUGAUCAGAGGCCAGCGGGUGGUUCUGGAAACAGCGGUGUAGCACCUGACGCAGCUGAGAUACAGCUUAAAAGCCCAAAUUGGCUUUUUGGCCAGAGAAAGUAUGAAGAGGGUUCCUCGGCUGCAAAAGUUGCUUCUCAUGAAACUGAUGUCGAAGGAUCUCAAGCUAAUGGCUUUUGCGACUUGAAUUGGCUUUCUUCUGGCAAUGAUUUGGAUGAUGAGGACAUUUUCCAAAGUGAUUUAUUUAACUUUAGGCAGAGUUGAGCAAUGCUGAUUAACAGACCAAACUUAGUGCAUUUGGAUCUGAUCUGUUAAGUAGAGCUACAGCCGUUAAUAUUUUCAAGGCCACAGAAAAUUCUGAACUUCGAUAAUGUUCUGUGACUAGCAAUAACCAUGUUUCAGUUGGUUUAAAUUAUGAAGGUACCUCACAAUUACCUCAGCAAACGAGGCCAACGGUUGGUAUGGAGGUACUCUCCUUGGUGAUCAAGAUGAAAGCAGUGAGAUAUAUAAACAUUAUGCUGAGUUAUGUCAGGGACCUGCCUUGGAACUUUUCCAAAACGACACAGAGAGGGAACAACACUAUGCGGAUGCUUUAAGUUUGAGUUCCUUUGAAAUUGUUAAUGAUGCUGCCGUUGCAGCAGAAAUGGAAGCAUCUCUAAAGGAGUAUGACCAAGUCGGUUCUGACCUUGGGAUCAUUCCCACAUCUUGUAAAUUCUUUGCUGAUGAUCCAAGCUGGUUGACGAGAUGGUUAACUGGGGAAGAAAAAGUACCAAGGAUAUGAUAAGUUAUUGUUUUGACAUGUAUAAUUGAAACGCUUAUUUUUGUACUAUUCAACUUUAUUUUAGUUCCUUAUACAAAGUAUGCGCCAGUUUUUU